rnacentral:lncRNA from 1 species
CCUGCCGUCACCGAGCAGGUGCCGUAGGAGAGGUUUGUGCAGGACACUGUGGAGGCAUCUGGUCGGCGUGGAGGAGGUGUAAGGAGCUCAGAGAAGGCGGGAUUUGCCAGGCUGGCAAGGUGGGGGAGGAUAUUCCAGACUGAGAACCCAUGGAAGGGCAUGAUGCGUUCCGGGAAUGGUGACUCAACCCCAGUAAGGCCUCCAAGCAAGGCGGAAGUGGCCACCAAUGAGUGUAAAAAGCCAGUGUGGCUUCAGUGUUGCCAGACUGACCCAACAGUCCUUCCCAGCCCUUCUCCCCGGACAGCUUACUGUGGUUGGAAAAGCUAAAUCCACCUUUCACCAGCUCCUUUGCAGCUGGGCGUGACCAUGUGAUGCAGCUCUGGCCAAUGACGGGGAUACGUUCCAAGAACCCCAGUGGAUGCCUGAAACCAUGGAUACUACCAAGGUGGAGAAACUGAGGCUCAGAUUUACACGUCUAAUGCAUUGGACACGGGGACUGUGAAACCAGGUCUCUCUUCAGCACGCACCAUGCUUUCUCUAGCCCUCUUUAUCACCAGAUAAUGAGUCCAUUAUUAUUUUCUUUUUAC